UACGGGGGGAGCAAGCGUUGUUCGGAUUUACUGGGCGUAAAGGGCGCGUAGGCGGCCACCGCAAGUCGACUGUGAAAUCUCCGGGCUUAACCCGGAAAGGUCAGCCGAUACUGCGGGGCUAGAGUGCAGAAGGGGCAACUGGAAUUCUCGGUGUAGCGGUGAAAUGCGUAGAUAUCGGGAGGAACACCUGUGGCGAAAGCGGCUCUCUGGACCACAACUGACGCUGAGGCGCGAAAGCUAGGGGAGCAAACAGG
rnacentral:rRNA from 1 species